rnacentral:rRNA from 1 species
ACGUAGGGGCCAAGCGUUGUCCGGAUUUAUUGGGCGUAAAGAGCUCGUAGGCGGCUCGGUAAGUCAGGUGUGAAACCUCCAGGCUCAACCUGGAGACGCCACCUGAUACUGCUGUGGCUAGAGUCCGGUAGGGGAGCGUGGAAUUCCUGGUGUAGCGGUGAAAUGCGCAGAUAUCAGGAGGAACACCAGCGGCGAAGGCGGCGCUCUGGGCCGGAACUGACGCUGAGGAGCGAAAGCGUGGGUAGCAAGCAGGA